CACGUAUUUAGCCGGUGCUUCUUCUUCAGGUACCGUCAUUCUUCUUCCCUGCUGACAGAGCUUUACAUACCGAAAUACUUCCUCGCUCACGCGGCGUCGCUGCAUCAGGGUUUCCCCCAUUGUGCAAUAUUCCCCACUGCUGCCUCCCGCAGGAGUCUGGGCCGUGCCUCAGUCCCAGUGUGGCCGUUCACCCUCUCAGGCCGGCUACUGAUCGCCGUCUUGGUAGGCCGUUACCCUGCCAACCAACUAAUCAGACGCGGGGCCAUCCUGUACCACCGUGGUUUUUCACACCGUGCCAUGCGGCACUGUGCGCUUAUGCGGUAUUAGCAGCCGUUUCCGGCUGUUAUCCCCCGGUACAGGGCAGGUUCCCCACGCGUUACUCACCCGUCCGCCACUCAGUCACUCUCCCCUCCUCCGAAAAUUCGGGAAAAGCGCUUCGUUCGACUUGCAUGUGUUAGGCACGCCGCCAGCGUUCAUCCUGAGCCAGGAUCAAACUCU
rnacentral:rRNA from 1 species